CCCAAAUAGGAAAGCAAAGGGUGGCGCCCCUCGUACUCUUCUCAUGCAUGUCAAGGUUGGGUGAUCAGUCGAUGUUGGAGCUAGCUGACAAGCCACCUUCUACAAGACUUGCACUAUAAUAUUCAGUGCUUGGACUUAUUAAAGGAGCUGCUAAAACUACUUGAUGGUAAUGGUUGGGGCAGUCGGUACCCCCAAGACAUUCGAGUCUUGAUGACCCAAGGUUGGUGGACUCCAUAGGGA
rnacentral:lncRNA from 1 species